CAGCCUUGGCCCCGCCCCUCGGCCCUGGCCCCGCCUCUCUGGUCCCACCCUCCGCUCAAGGGAGCGGGCCCACCCAUGGUUCUGGAAGCCAGCGAGAUUACUGAACUGGAUUUCGAACCCAGAACCUCCCCCAUGCACGAUUCUCACGUAGCCUCUUCCUGCGCUCACACCUGCCCGGGCGCCCCUCGUCCUGCCCUGCCCUGCCCAGGAUGUCGUGCUGUGGGGACCUAGUGACCCUGACAUAAAGGACCUAUGCAAACGGCCUGGCAGCCCCCCUCACUUGGUGCCCAAUGUGGCUCCCUACUGCCCUAGAACGGAGUCCUUGGUCUCUACACAUUGUCCAGCCACUGGUCCUGCUCCUCAGCCUGUGACGUGACCACGAGCUAAGAUCACAAUGCACCAGGACAGCGUCUGGUCACACAGCCCUGAUCGAGGCCUCCCGUCUGACGCAGUCUAGGAAGGUGUAACACCCAUUGCUCCCAGCCGCCCUAAUCCCCCCC